rnacentral:lncRNA from 1 species
GGCAGCCCCAGCCGAUCGAUCCUGUAGUUGCCCAAUGGGUAUUGACCGAGGGCCUGAGGGUCAGGGUCGCUGGUCCAGAAGAGGCCGGGCAGAGGGAGGCCUGCCCCAUCCCCCACACGCUCCCUCACCUAACCCAAAAGGACAGUAACCGAUGCCACCAGAGGCUAGAACUGGUGCUGCACCUGUGGGACGAGGGCGCCACCGUGUGUCCAGCUUGGAGCAGUGUGGUCACAGGCUUGAGCCCA